rnacentral:rRNA from 1 species
UACGUAGGGUGCAAGCGUUAAUCGGAAUUACUGGGCGUAAAGCGUGCGCAGGCGGUUUUGUAAGUCUGUUGUGAAAUCCCCGGGCUCAACCUGGGAAUGGCAAUGGAGACUGCAAGGCUAGAGUUUGGCAGAGGGGGGUAGAAUUCCACGUGUAGCAGUGAAAUGCGUAGAGAUGUGGAGGAACACCGAUGGCGAAGGCAGCCCCCUGGGUCAAAACUGACGCUCAUGCACGAAAGCGUGGGGAGCAAACAGGAUUAGAAACCCCCGUAGUCC